rnacentral:rRNA from 1 species
GACGAACCGUGCGAACGUUGUUCGGAAUCACUGGGCUUAAAGGGCGCGUAGGCGGGCUGCCAAGUCUGGGGUGAAAUCCCACGGCUCAACCGUGGAACGGCCUCGGAUACUGGCGGCCUCGAGGGAGGUAGGGGCAUGCGGAACUAUGGGUGGAGCGGUGAAAUGCGUUGAUAUCCAUAGGAACUCCGGCGGCGAAGGCGGCCUUCUGGACGGUGACUGACGCUGAGACGCGAAAGCGUGGGGAGCAAACAGG